rnacentral:rRNA from 1 species
GAUGAACGCUGGCGGCGUGCCUAAUACAUGCAAGUCGAGCGAACAGACGAGGAGCUUGCUCCUCUGACGUUAGCGGCGGACGGGUGAGUAACACGUGGAUAACCUACCUAUAAGACUGGGAUAACUUCGGGAAACCGGAGCUAAUACCGGAUAAUAUAUUGAACCGCAUGGUUCAAUAGUGAAAGACGGCUUUGCUGUCACUUAUAGAUGGAUCCGCGCCGCAUUAGCUAGUUGGUAAGGUAACGGCUUACCAGGGCGACGAUGCGUAGCCGACCUGAGAGGGUGAUCGGCCACACUGGAACUGGGACACGGUCCAGACUCCUGCGGGAGGCAGCAGUAGGGAAUCUUCCGCAAUGGGCGAGAGCCUGACGGAGCAACGCCGCGUGAGUGAUGAAGGUCUUCGGAUCGUAAAACUCUGUUAUUAGGGAAGAACAAAUGUGUAAGUAACUAUGCACGUCUUGACGGUACCUAAUCAGAAAGCCACGGCUAACUACGUG